GUCAAUUAUAUUGGAGUUUGGUGCACUUAUCUGGUAUAGUUUGAGUUACGUUCCUUUUGCAAGGUCCAUGGUGUCCAAAGUGAUGAUGGCUUGCUUUGAUACAGAAUUCUAGGGUUGUAUUACCGUCAGAGAAGAAUUACACGUGCAAAUAUGUAGAGUGUACAUUUGACAAGUUGGCACCACGUAUUUUAAUCACCUUUGGUCAAAUGGUGGUGUUUUGUUUCAAAUGCGUUCGUUAACUUCUGAUGCUAUGUAACACCUAAAUUUUUACUUCUUCAAAGUAAA
rnacentral:misc_RNA from 1 species